UACGAAGGGGGCUAGCGUUGUUCGGAAUCACUGGGCGUAAAGGGCGCGUAGGCGGCUUUAUAAGUCGGGGGUGAAAGCCUGUGGCUCAACCACAGAAUUGCCUUCGAUACUGUAGAGCUUGAGACCGGAAGAGGUAAGUGGAACUGCGAGUGUAGAGGUGAAAUUCGUAGAUAUUCGCAAGAACACCAGUGGCGAAGGCGGCUCACUGGCCCGUUACUGACGCUGAGGUGCGAAAGCGUGGGGAGCAAACAGG
rnacentral:rRNA from 1 species